AGGAAUACACCCAGCUGUGUCAUGCUGCAGACCAGACACAGACUAACACUCCCCUGGCUGCACAAGGGAAGCAGUGUAUGGCAUGGAUAGACGGUGACAGGGGUUCUCUGGCCAAGAGUUGUGGAUACAGGGUCACACUUUGCUCUCUCCUGCCACUGGCAUGUACACCAAAGAACAACUUGCUUGUGGGGACCUGCAGAUAGCAUUGAAAACUAUUAACUGUCUCUUGGCCACACUUGGUAUCUUGGAUGGUAUUUGUCUUAGCCAAAUUGAAUGAUAAAUUUGACAAAAUAAAAAACUAAAAUGUAUUUUAGCAUUUGGCUAUCAUUGACUGUAUUAGAGCAGACUCAGAACCUGAACCGAAUCGGAAUCAGAGUUUAUUGUGUCAUAUUUCCACUGCUUUGCUGUGGCAUCCUCACCACAUCCUAUGAUGCAUCAAAAUGGAGACCUUUGUUACAUGUAUGCAAAAAAAAAAACAGAUUGGAUAUAAACAAGGACUUUGUUAGAAGGAAGAUGGACAUGUGUUAUAAUCAUUUUAUUAUUAUACAGCUUUAAGCAGUCAAUCUACAAUGAUUGCAAGUUCUUUAAUCCAGUAACUUGUACUCAGUCAUAAGAGUUCAAUAUGUAAAUUGAUAAUGAUAUAGGAGUAAAGAACAUGAACAUUAUAUGCAGUGUUAGCUAGGUUGUUGUUUAUUAAUUACUCUACACCAUCCCAUGACACUUUGGCCCAUCGUGUAUAUGUCAAAGGCCCAGACCAAAUCUAGUCCUAUGCAUAAAAAGCCCAGGCCUCGUGUUAAUUACGCCCUGGCUGGGCCCAUUCUUUAUGGUGUCUUUGAAUUGUUAACAGCACAAUCGGCAAGUUAAUUGGCCAAGCUGCCAGUUUGUUUGUAUGGCAUGUGCAGGGGAUGUCUUAGAUCGAGGUACAUAUUAUGAUACUUACUCGUGUGGCAAAUGAGAUUUGUAAACUACGUCUGAGGAUGAUACUUAUAAAGAUGUUUAA